rnacentral:lncRNA from 1 species
GCAAGCUCAAGGUCAAGCCAUUCCUAUCACCGAUCCUAGUGGUACAGAUAAGGCGGCUAGCCUUCGAACACAGGAUUUUCUUAAGAUGGAUCCUCCCACUUUUACUGGAUCAGAUCUUAACGAGGACCCAUAGGACUUUAUUGAUCAAAUUCAAAGGGCCUUAGAUGUUAUGCAUGUAACGGGUAGAGAGACAGUGGAGU